UUUCAGCUGAAAACUCAAAUCCCCUUGCAGCCAAGCAGGGGUGGUGCCACAGUGCUGUGCAUCCAGACCCAUCCAAGCUGCUACCUGCCCAACACACACGUCACAGAAUUCACAGAAUGACUGGGUUGGAAGAGACCUUCAAGAUCAUCAGGAAGCAGCACCAAGAGAGAGCACCUCACUGCCAUGACAGCCACAGAACACACCCUCAGAUGCAUCCAGGUCAGGAUCACAGCGGGCUGGUGGCACAGCUGGGAGUGGGACACGGUUUCCCAGCCCUGGGACAAUGUGCUGCUGUCUCACUCAGCAGUCCUCAAACACCUCUCACAUCCCACAUCAUGAUUUGCCACAAGUCAGGAGGACUGUGAGGUGGGGACAGUUUCCUUCCUGAAGCACCUCUGUGUCCACCUUCAUUUAUCUUCCCUGUAAGGACCUGGCACCUGAGUUCACCACGAGUUUGAGUUAAUUAAAAAUCAAAAAAUCAAAAAUAAAAUUGUU